UACGUAGGGUGCGAGCGUUAAUCGGAAUUACUGGGCGUAAAGCGUGCGCAGGCGGUUUUGUAAGCCAGAUGUGAAAUCCCCGGGCUUAACCUGGGAAUGGCAUUUGGGACUGCAAGGCUUGAGUGCGGCAGAGGAGACUGGAAUUCCUGGUGUAGAGGUGAAAUUCGUAGAUAUCGGGAGGAACACCAGUGGCGAAGGCGGCGACCUGGGCCAAUACUGACGCUGAGGUGCGAAAGCGUGGGGAGCAAACAGG
rnacentral:rRNA from 1 species